UACGGGGGGGCGAAGCGUUGUUCGGAAUUACUGGGCGUAAAGGGCGCGUAGGCGGGCAAGCAAGUCGAAGGUGAAAUCCCACGGGCUCAACCCGUGGAAGUGCCCCCGAUACUGCUUGUCUUGAGGGAGAUAGGGCGUGCGGAACUUCCGGUGGAGCGGUGAAAUGCGUAGAUAUCGGAAGGAACACCGGUGGCGAAAGCGGCGCGCUGGAUCUCUUCUGACGCUGAGGCGGCGAAAGCCA
rnacentral:rRNA from 1 species